rnacentral:ncRNA from 1 species
GAAAUGUUUAUAGAGGUUUUUAUGAAUUUACUCAUUGCUAUAGAAGUUUUAUAUGAAUUCCUGAUUUAAAUAAGAAGGGUGCACUCUGCAUGAAUUUCGAAAGAGAAUUGGGUUAAUAUUCCCGAACCGAGACAUGGUGGUGGACGACAAUGUUAGGAAAUCUGGAGAUGUCAACCGGGGGCUGGGAAGAGUUAUCUUUUUUUUUUAACGACUUUCCCACCCUGAAAUUGGUUCAACCGGAGAUAGGGUCCAACAUAUGGAAGAGAACCACACGUAUUGCGGUGUUUGGUGCCCCCUCGAUAACCAUUGAAAAUAUGGAGAACCGAGUACCAUCCAUGCCCGAUCGUACUCAUAUUUGCCUUGGAUUU